GACUGACAAGUCCAGCGCUGAAUCCCGGUGCCAUUGGUAUCGUGAAAUGUAGCGUAUAGAGGAUGCUCUCCGCGAGAAAGUUUGGCUUAAGUCUCCCCUGACUGGGGUCCCAUAGAGGGUGAAAGGCCCGUGAAGCCAAGCCGUAUUGUGGGCGUGUAUCCUUUUGGAGUCGGGUUGUUUGGGAACGCAGCCCUAAGUAGGUGGUAAACUUCAUCUAAGGCUAAAUAUGCCUCGGAAACCGAUAGCGAACAAGUACCUUGAGGGAAAGUUGAAAAGCACUUUGAAGAGAGAGUUAAACAGGACGUGAAACCGAUAAGAUGGAAACGGAUAGAGCCGACGUAUCUAGCUUGCAUUCAGCUAUUUACUUAAUUGGAGUUGUACCUCCGCCGCCCUAGUUGAUGGACGGCGGGUUUGGGAUGGCUGCCGAGAGCAACCAGUUGGGAUAAGUGGUGCAUUUGCAAGUGAAGUGCACCGAAGCAUGUUAGCUGGCGGCUGGGCUUUGGUCUUGAGGAUAUUUGCUUUACGGCGAGUAAACCCCGGGCCAGGUCAACAGGCUGUUCGGUUGGCAUUGCAGACUUUGGGACUCGCGGUUUACCGUGGGAAUUCGUGUUCGGCCAGUUGGGUUUCAGGUGUCGGUCGCAUGCGACACGUGCUUGUUUACUUCUCUGACUACGGCGCGGAUUCUGGUCUCGGAUUUCGGUGUAAAAGUUGGUCAUCUAUCCGACCCGUCUUGAAACACGGACCAAGGAGUUUAGCGUAUGCGCAAGUUAUUGAGUGUUGAAAACUCAAAAGCAGAAUGAAAGUAAAGAUGUCGUUUUGCGUCAUUGAUAUGUGAUCCGGUGAGCUACGGCCGACCGGCGCAGCAUAGCCCCUCUCUAGUUGCUUGCAACGGGGCGGAGGAAGAGCGUAUGCGGUGAGACCCGAAAGAUGGUGAACUAUGCCUGAGCAGGAUGAAGCCAGAGGAAACUCUGGUGGAGGU
rnacentral:rRNA from 1 species